rnacentral:rRNA from 1 species
GACAGAGGGUGCAAACGUUGUUCGGAAUUACUGGGCGUAAAGCGCGUGUAGGCUGCUUCGCAAGUCGGAUGUGAAAGCCCUGGGCUCAACCCAGGAAGUGCAUUCGAAACUGCAGAGCUGGAGUCCUGGAGAGGAGACUGGAAUUUACGGUGUAGCGGUGAAAUGCGUAGAUAUCGUAAGGAAGACCAGUGGCGAAGGCGGGUCUCUGGACAGUUCCUGACGCUGAGGCACGAAGGUCAGGGGAGCAAACGGG